rnacentral:rRNA from 1 species
GACGAACCGUGCAAACGUUGUUCGGAAUCACUGGGCUUAAAGGGCGCGUAGGCGGGCAAGCAAGUCCGGGGUGAAAUCUUUCGGCCCAGCCGGAAAAGGGCCUUGGAUACUGCUUGUCUGGAGGGAGGUAGGGGCAGACGGAACUUCCGGUGGAGCGGUGAAAUGCGUUGAUAUCGGAAAGAACACCAACGGCGAAAGCACUCUGCUGGGCCGACACUGACACUGAGAGACGAAAGCUAGGGGAGCGAACAGG